AGUCUGAAAAAGAAAGUCACUCACAGUUGCAACAACAACAACAACAACAGAAACAACUAUCCGACUUUAAUUGAACGUUGUAAUAUUAAGAUCAGACUAAUGUUGUAUAUCGCUUGGUUCGAAUUAGGAUAAUGUGCACAGCAAUCGAUUAGAUGAACGACAACUGUUUCAGAUGGAAUGAGGCCAAAAUACUGAGAAACAGCCAUUCAACUGUAUCCACCCUGGAACACGAAGGCUGAAAUGGGCAGUUAAAAAUACAAACUUCUGUAAGAAUGUAUGUAUAAGCAACAAUUAGCAGCGGAACGGGGUAGGAUAUUUCCAAUUAUAUUGAUCCUCGUUUAUAUGGAUUUACUGGAGAUAUAGCAGCAGUUACACCAGCCUAUGAAGAGCAUGCUACAAUGACCAAAAACUAGCUUUACGUUCAUUUCUGAUAAUGUUAUCAC